GGAGUCGCUGGCGGCAUGCCUUACACAUGCAAGUCGUAACAAGGUAACCGUAAGGGUCUGAGGUAUGCGUAACGGGUGAGUAAUACAUCGGAACGUGCCCGAUCGUGGGGGAUAACGAGGCGAAAGCUUUGCUAAUACCGCAUACGAUCUACGGAUGAAAGCGGGGGAUCUUCGGACCUCGCGCGGACGGAGCGGCCGAUGGCAGAUUAGGUAGUUGGUGGGAUAAAAGCUUACCAAGCCGACGAUCUGUAGCUGGUCUGAGAGGAUGAUCAGCCACACUGGGACUGAGACACGGCCCAGACUCCUACGGGAGGCAGCAGUGGGGAAUUUUGGACAAUGGGCGAAAGCCUGAUCCAGCCAUGCCGCGUGCAGGAUGAAGGCCUUCGGGUUGUAAACUGCUUUUGUACGGAACGAAAAGCCUCUUUCUAAUAAAGAGGGGUCAUGACGGUACCGUAAGAAUAAGCACCGGCUAACUACGUGCCAGCAGCCGCGGUAAUACGUAGGGUGCAAGCGUUAAUCGGAAUUACUGGGCGUAAAGCGUGCGCAGGCGGUUUUGUAAGACAGAGGUGAAAUCCCCGGGCUCAACCUGGGAACUGCCUUUGUGACUGCAAGGCUGGAGUGCGGCAGAGGGGGAUGGAAUUCCGCGUGUAGCAGUGAAAUGCGUAGAUAUGCGGAGGAACACCGAUGGCGAAGGCAAUCCCCUGGGGCCUGCACUGACGCUCAUGCACGAA
rnacentral:rRNA from 1 species